rnacentral:rRNA from 1 species
CCUACGGGAGGCAGCAGUGGGGAAUUUUGGACAAUGGGCGAAAGCCUGAUCCAGCCAUUCCGCGUGCAGGAUGAAGGCCCUCGGGUUGUAAACUGCUUUUGUACAGAACGAAAAAGCUCUGGUUAAUACCUGGAGUCCAUGACGGUACUGUAAGAAUAAGCACCGGCUAACUACGUGCCAGCAGCCGCGGUAAUACGUAGGGUGCAAGCGUUAAUCGGAAUUACUGGGCGUAAAGCGUGCGCAGGCGGUUUUGUAAGACAGAGGUGAAAUCCCCGGGCUCAACCUGGGAACUGCCUUUGUGACUGCAAGGCUGGAGUGCGGCAGAGGGGGAUGGAAUUCCGCGUGUAGCAGUGAAAUGCGUAGAUAUGCGGAGGAACACCGAUGGCGAAGGCAAUCCCCUGGGCCUGCACUGACGCUCAUGCACGAAAGCGUGGGGAGCAAACAGGAUUAGAUACCCUGGUAGUCCACGCCCUAAACGAUGUCAACUGGUUGUUGGGUCUUGACUGACUCAGUAACGAAGCUAACGCGUGAAGUUGACCGCCUGGGGAGUACGGCCGCAAGGCUAAAACUCAAAGGAAUUGACGG